GCUCCCUUAGCUCAGCUGGAUAGAGCGUCCCCCUCCUAAGGGGAAGGCCACAAGUUCGAAUCUUGUAGGGGGCACCA
rnacentral:tRNA from 2 species